UACGUAGGGGGCAAGCGUUGUCCGGAUUUACUGGGCGUAAAGAGCGUGUAGGCGGCCAGGCAGGUCUGUUGUGAAAACUGGAGGCUCAACUUCCAGACGUCGACAGAAACCGCUUGGCUAGAGUCCGGAAGAGGAGAGUGGAAUUCCUGGUGUAGCGGUGAAAUGCGCAGAUAUCAGGAAGAACACCGAUGGCGAAGGCAGCUCGCUGGGACGGUACUGACGCUGAGACGCGAAAGCGUGGGGAGCAAACAGG
rnacentral:rRNA from 1 species